rnacentral:rRNA from 1 species
AAUACGUAGGUGGCAAGCGUUGUCCGGAUUUAUUGGGUUUAAAGGGUGCGUAGGCGGCUUGAUAAGUCCGUGGUGAAAGCCAACAGCUCAACUGUUGAACUGCCAUGGAUACUGUCAGGCUUGAGUACAGACGAGGUAGGCGGAAUUGAUGGUGUAGCGGUGAAAUGCAUAGAUACCAUCAAGAACACCGAUUGCGAAGGCAGCUUACUAGGCUGUAACUGACGCUGAGGCACGAAAGCGUGGGGAGCGAACAGG